rnacentral:lncRNA from 1 species
GUUCGUCCCAGGUACUUGCAGGGGAGCAGCAGUAGCAGCAGCAAACGGCUGUCCUUGGGGAGGGCCGCGGCGCCGUCGUCCGAUGGGAGCCCUGCCCACCGGCCUCCCUUCCUCCCAGAGCAGAACAAAGACUAUCCGGUGGAUUCAGUGGUGUCCAGAGAGCUACUUUCGAAAGCUCAAGGGCAGACAGUCUCCAAAGUCUUGCUCCAAGGAACUGGCCGGUGCAUAAGCUUCAGAGAACUAAGUAUUUCAUUUUAUAGUGUGAAUUCAUUUUCAAUGACCAUCAAGACAUUAAAGGACUAAGAUAUCAGAAAAGCAAAGAGCCAGGAUGUGCAUACGCGACAACGUGCAGGUGGCGUUGAAAAAGAUAACGUGAGGCCACCACUACACCGUAGCUUAAAAAGGAGAAACAAGACUGGAGGAGACAGUCCUCUGAAAAAUGUCUCGUACUUGAGAGGUGAUGGAAGAUAAACCAACCCAAAAUAAAACGGAGGGACGAAGGAUCUACAGCGGGAGCUCUCACCCAGUAGGUCGCGGUUCUACGACGGUGGGCGCAGGAUGGUGGCCAAGAGCAAGUAUGGAAUGUGCACCCAGAAGGAGUGACAAGGACAGCGACUCAACGAUCCACUUGGAAGGAGUCAGUGACAACGAAAAAGUAAGCUCUCUAUCCCUCUACAGAGACUGGUCUGUGUGGAUCAUCAUGAUGCUUCCCCGCAGAUAA